GAUUAAGUGUCGUAAGGGCAUUUGGUGGAUGCCUUGGCAUGCACAGGCGAUGAAGGACGUGAUACGCUGCGAAAAGCCGUGGGGAGCUGCGAAUGAGCUUUGAUCCAUGGAUCUCCGAAUGGGGCAACCCACCUUAAAUGCUUGGAAAAUC
rnacentral:rRNA from 1 species